rnacentral:lncRNA from 1 species
CAAUGAUUCUGCAUAUACAGAGAGUAUUUUAGAACAAUGUUCUAGCAAGAGUUUUGAGAAACAAGAAUUUUAUCCUUCUGAAUCAAAUAAGGAGCAAUUAGAACAAUGUUCCAGCAUAAGUUUAAGUAAUUCUACAUGUAACGAAGAUC